rnacentral:rRNA from 1 species
AAUCAACGCUGGCGGCGUGCCUCAGACAUGCAAGUCGAACGCGAAAGCCCCCUUCGGGGGGCAAGUAGAGUGGCGCACGGGUGAGUAACACGUAGGUAAUCUACCUUUGGAUGGGGAAUAGCAACCGGAAACGGUUGCUAAUACCGCAUAAUGCAGCGGCACCUAAUGGUGACAGUUGUUAAAGCGGGGGAUCGCAAGACCUCGCGUCUGAAGAGGAGCCUGCGGCAGAUUAGCUAGUUGGUAAGGUAACGGCUUACCAAGGCUAUGAUCUGUAGCCGGCCUGAGAGGGCGGUCGGCCACACUGACACUGACAUACGGGUCAGACUCCUACGGGAGGCAGCAGUCGGGAAUUUUGGGCAAUGGGCGCAAGCCUGACCCAGCAACGCCGCGUGAAGGAUGAAAUCCUUCGGGAUGUAAACUUCGCAAGAACAGGAAGAAUAAGUAAGGGUUAAUAUCUCUUACGAUGACGGUACUGUUUGUAAGCUCCGGCUAACUCCGUGC